CUCCUCCUCUCUGCAACAAGAAAAAAAAGCCAUUUACAGGGUGAUGUGCAACUAAUUAAAGGCAGACUGGCACCGUCUGCAAAUUCUAAGGCUCCCCAAAUAAAAAGAGACUGACCAAUCUGUGGGCUUCAGAAGCUGUCACAGGAAAAAAAAAAAAAAAAAAAAAAAAA